GAGCGGGUGGGGCCUCGCGCGCCUGCGGAGCCCGAGGGCGCGGGUCCCGCGGGGCGUGGGUUUGCCUGGCGCCGAGGAGGGAGUUCCGCUUCCUCGGGGUCCGACGUGCGCCCCGCCGCGUGGAGUUUGCAGCCCGCACGUGGAGAGUGACGCCGUCGACCCAAGGGGCAGUUUCCCGGGGAGAGAAGUUCAGGGAGCGGGGCCGAGUGGCGUGCGGGAAGAGGAGGCCGGUCGGCCCCGCACCUGGCCAGCCCCUGGUGACCUUCGGAGAUGGCCUCAGCAGGAACGCCCUGAGCUGGCCCUCAGUGACCAGCGAUUCUGCUCCAUAGGUCAACCAACCAGGGCCCCGCGUGUCAUCCCAGCGGCUCGGGAGGCUGAGAAAGGAGGAUCGUGAGUUCAGAGCCAGCCUCAGCAGACAGCGGGGCGCUGAGCAACUCAGUGAGACCCUGUCUCUAAAUAAGAUACAAAAAAUAGGGCAGGGGAUGUGGCUCAGUGCCCCUGAGUUCAAUGGCCAGUCCCUCCCACCCCGAAAAUUUGUGCUGAAAAUGUAGAUCUUCCUAACAACACGGCUCCGGCUGAGUGUGAGGAUCCGUGGGGUGCUGGGUGAGCAGAGGGAGCUGGAGUCUGGGCGACGGGGCAUGAGUGCUGGUUCUGUGCACGCCCUGUACCACCGUACAGAGAAGGCUUGGGCUCUCAGGCAUUUUGGCAAUGCCUGAGGGGAACUUCUUCCUCUUCCCACUGUUUUGGUGCUGGGGAUCGAACCUGGGGUCUUGAGCAUGCCACCCAAGCCCUCUACACUCAACCUCACCUUAGCCUUUUAAAAACUUUGAGUCGGGAUCUUGCUGAAUUGCCCAAUCUGGCCUCAAACUCAUGAUCCUCCUGCCUCAGACUACAAAUAGCUGAGAUGAGAGGUGUGGCCACUGUGCCUGUCAUACACUUUACAGUGUAAUAAAAACUACCAGAUCAUCCUUGGAGUGGCUGAUGCUUGAAAGUGCGGCUGUCCCCAUGUCCUUCAUGGUUACUGUGGAGGCUUGGUCGGCUGUUAGCAUGUGACAGUGGCAACAGUGAUAGGGUUGCUCAACAAAGCUUCCAACUUGGAGGUUCUCCUAAGGAAACUUCCUGGGCCAGACUUUACAGACCUCGGUUUUGUCAUGAGUAUCUGGUUCAAUUUUAGUCAAUGGGUAUUUUUCCUACCAUAUCUGAUUUCUCAGUGAAUUCUUGCCAUUUUCAGUGUUUACAAGCAUGAUUGCUGUGGCUUCUUAUCAUUAUGGCUUCUGAGGUCCGGUAUGGUAGCCCCUGUACUCAUGUGGACAUUUGGUGUUUUUAUUUUCAUUUAAAGAGGCUCGUGUGCCAUCCCAUCUCCUCGAGGCUGGGGGAUCACAAGUUCAGGGCCAGCCUGGCAACGUGGUGGGAUCCUGUCUCAAAAUGAAAAUAAUAAAGGGGGUUAGGGUGUGGCUCAGGGGUAGAGCACUUGCCUAGCGUGUGCUGGGCCCUGGGUUCCUUCCCUAGGACUGAAAAAAUAUUUAGUAUGUAUUUUUAAAGUGCAGACUUUUGAGGUAUAACUAAGACACCAUAAGAUUCCUUCCGUUUUAGCAUACAAUUCACUGGCUUUUAGUGUUGUUAGAAUUGUACGGCCAUAGCACAACUUCAUGCCGCAGUCUGGCUGGGCACAAAUAACCGAGCCGCCACAAAGCCUUGUAGGUUCAAACAGCAACUCUUUAUUCCCCACCUCUCACCGGCACUGCACACACACUACUCGGGAACACACUCCUUCCACGGGGCUCCGGGCACCGUGCCCAAUCUCCCGGAACCCUCACGAGAACUGCCUGGGAACUCCAAAGUAGCGGGAGCUACAACUCAAUCAACCCAGCAUCACAGCAAUUACAGCUUCAAAUCGUCAUCUCAAUGGUUGGCUGGUGUCACCUUUCAACCAUUUCCACUGGCAAUAGGCCACCGCAUCAUUCUGACUCUGCUGUGGCUCUCAACAACUUCAGAACAUUUUCACCACAACAUUAAGAAACUAAAUACUCUCUAGCCUCACCCCAUCUCCCUCUUCCCCACCUCUAAUACGUAACCUCUAGUCCACCUUCUCUCCAUGGGCCUCUCUACUCUGGAUAUUUCAUAUGAAUAGAAUCACACAGUGUGUGUCCUGCAUGGUUCGUUCAUGUCAGAAUGUGUUGGUGCUGCAUCCCUUUUCCUGACUGAAUACUAUUCCAUUCUAUGGAUGGACCACAUUGUGUUGAGAGCCACAGCCGAGUCGGGAUGACGCAUGGCAUUUUUGCCAGAAGUAGUGGUUGAGAGGUGAUGCCAGCGAGCCAUUAAGAUGAUGACUUUUGAGUUCCCGUGCCGCAGUCUGGCUGGGCACAAAUGCCGCAGUCUGGCUGGGCACACAAUCACGAGCCACCACACAGCUUGUAGAUUCAAACAGCAACUCUUUAUUCCCGAACUCACACCAGCCGUCUACAAUCACGUUCUGGGGAAAUCCACGUUCUCUGCCCAAAAUCACGUUCUCUGCCCAAAUCCUCGUUCUCUGCCCAAAUUCCCCUCCACUGGGCUUCUAUCUCCCAAAUAUACUGUCUGAAUCCCGUGAGAACUCAAGGGGAACUCAGGCAGCAGGAUACGCCCUAUUCCCGGCAGGAAUAAUCUUAAACCUUAAACCUGGAACCUAAACUGGGAACGCCCUAAACACGAUUAUCUUAAAACCAGGAACACCCUAAUCUGCCUUGGUCCUUGAGCAAGGUCACGUACAUUCAAUGUCACUGCAACAUGGGGUACGCUGGCAAGGAAAUUGUCAUACCUACUUGGCUAAUGGCUCCCAGCAUUCCCGUUGCGUUCCGGUUGAGCUCUCCCAGAGAUUCCUGAAGAGUUGGCGUUGGUUGGUGAAGUUCCGGUGGUGGGAGUUCCGGUUGGUGUGGUGUGUUCCUGGAGGAGCCCUAUGGGUGGCGUUCGGGAAAGUUCCCGGGAAGUGUGCUGGUGGAGUUCGGAAAUAAAGUUUGUUCCUGCUUGAGUGGCUGGUGAUUUGUGCAACAUUGUGUUUGUUUAUGAAUCCGUUGGUAGACGUGCAGUGUCCCUCUCCUGGUUAUUAGGAGUCAUGCUGCUAUAAAUAUGGGGUAUGGGAUUUUGUUCUGCCUGUGUCCAGUUAUUCUGGGAGUGGAAUCCUGUGCAGGUGGUACCUGUUCAUCUGAGGGUCUGUGGCCACACCACUUUGCAUCCCCACCAGGGCAGCCUGGAGUCCCAGGGCCCCACGCGGUACGCGCACCGUCUCUG
rnacentral:lncRNA from 1 species